rnacentral:rRNA from 1 species
AUGAGUUCAUCAUAUCACCCUCAAACUGAUGGCCAAACAGAACGGGUGAACCAAUGCCUCGAAACCUAUCUAAGGUGCUCAGUGCAUUCUUGCCCCAAGAACUGGUACAAAUGGUUAUUCCUGGCUGAAUACUGGUACAAAACCAAUUUCCACUCUGCACUGGGGCGCACACCAUAUGAGGUCAUCUACGGGACUCUGCCACGUGAAUUUGGUGUCACUCAGGUGGACAGCAGCACGGUGCCAGACUUAGCUGCUUGGCUCCAAGAGCGCGAAGUGAUGCGUGACCUGCUGCAGCAACAGCUCAAGCAUGCGCAGGACCGUAUGAAGCGGCAGGCCGACAAGCACCGCACUGAUCGAGAGUUCGAGGUGGGCGACGCGGUGUAUUUGCGACUUCAGCAGCCGUACAUACAGACGUCCGUCGCUCAGCGCCCGUUUCAGAAGCUGGCCUUCAGGUAUUUUGGUCCAUACCCAGUCAUAGCGUGCGUGGGCAAGGUGGCAUACAAACUUCAGUUGCCAGUCGGAAGCAAGAUACAUCCGGUGGUACACGUCUCCCAGCUUAAGAAGGUAAUCGGCCCCGACAUUCAGGUAGAAACAGAGCUUCCUCCUGAUGCUGAAUUUCUUCGUCUAGAACAGACACCGAUGGCCAUCCUCAAAGAUUGCACUGUCAAGACGGUGCAGGAAGAUCAACAGCGCGUGCUAGUGCGCUGGACAGGUCUACCAGCAUCUAUGGCUACAUGGGAAGACCUGAUGCUGCUCCGACAACGCUUUCCUGCAUCGCUGGCUUGGGGACAAGCCAGUUUCCAAGAAGGGGAGAAUGUCAGUACCACUACACCACCCCAACUGUCAGAGUGGCCCAAGCCCCAGGCGGGACCACCAGUCGGCGACCAGAGGCAAGAAGAAGAGCGGAACGAGUCCUAG